UGGGGAAUCUUCGCAAUGGGCGAAAGCCUGACGCAGCCAUGCCGCGUGAAUGAUGAAGGUCUUAGGAUUGUAAAAUUCUUUCACCGGGGACGAUAAUGACGGUACCCGGAGAAGAAGCCCCGGCUAACUUCGUGCCAGCAGCCGCGGUAAUACGAAGGGGGCUAGCGUUGCUCGGAAUUACUGGGCGUAAAGGGAGCGUAGGCGGACAUUUAAGUCAGGGGUGAAAUCCCGGGGCUCAAACCUCGGAAUUGCCUUUGAUACUGGGUGUCUUGAGUGUGAGAGAGGUAUGUGGAACUCCGAGUGUAGAGGUGAAAUUCGUAGAUAUUCGGAAGAGCACCAGUGGCGAAGGCGACAUACUGGCUCAUUACUGACGCUGAGGCUCG
rnacentral:rRNA from 1 species